AAUGUUCCAGAAUAUUCACAGGUGAAUAAAGAUUACCCUGUUGUCCCAUUUGAAUGCAAUGCCACUGCUAGGAGUGCCAGAAAGUUUGAUUACCUGGUCACCUUUGUUGCAAGAAUGGAACUUUGAGUGAUCUUCAUAAUGUUGAUAGAAGCUGGUUCAAUAAAGUAUUUCAAAGCUAGAAUGCUCCUCAGAGCACUGAAACUUUUGGUCAUAGAAGGAGACAUCUGCAAGUAAAUGACUUUAUGGUAAGCAUCAUAUUUUGAAGAGCUCCCUAACUGACCGUGAUAUAAUAAUGACACCUACAAACACUUAGCUUUGGGGAGGCUCUGAUGGAACUCAGAGAUCUGUAUGGUCAGAAAAAGGUCUGCUGAUGCCCACGUGAGUGAAAAGGGCAGCAUGCAAUAAUGUAUGAUGGUAGAAAGAGCACUGGCCAGGAACCCAAUGACCCGGCCAGCUGCGUGCUUACUGCCUUUGUGAUCUCAGACAUUCUCUGACCCCUUAGAGUUCAGUCUCAUCAGUAAAUGAAGAUGGAUGCUGGCAUCUGCUGUGUACCCUACUGGGCUGUGAACAUUUGAGAAAGCUUCACGAAUCCUUGACUAAACAACCAGUGUCUUACUGUUCUUGUCAAAAGCUUCCUUUUUAGGCUCAGAGUGGCAUGUCACCAAAGCUAUAGAAUGACAAGCAAAUUUGGAAAUGUACUUUUACAGAACCACCUUGGGGAGAAGACCAAGCUCCCAUGUGAAAGAUGCCCUCCCUAAACCAGGAGGAAAGAAACAUUCUUAUCACCAGAGACGGAGAACAGAGGCUGAGAGAAAUCUGUACAAACAGAUCUUGUGAAAAUAACCCUUAUCUUCUUUAGUCUCCCUAUCAUUAUGGUUAUUUUUCCACAAUUACAACUUUUGUUCAACCUAGUAUAUAAGUUAGGCAUUUAAGCCUGACCGCUUUUAGGGUCUUCAUUUUCCUGUGAGGGCUCCCAUAUGCAUGUAAAAAUAUCAAAUAAAAUUUGUAUGUUUUUCUCCUGUUAA
rnacentral:lncRNA from 1 species